CCCUCCCGCCGCAUUCCCAUCCCCUUCUCUUCUUUGCGGAUGCGCUCGCUUUGGCUAGGCUAGGGUCGUUGCCGAGGCGUGGAGGCGCCCCAGUUCCCCAUCUCCCCGCCUCAGUGAUGGAGAGGUGCGAGAUGGAUGUGGGGAGGAGCGGGCAUGGUGCAGUCUGCAGUGGCCCAAGGAGACGUUGGCCUGGCAGCGGCGGCGGGAGCGGUUGGAGGCGACCACGGGCAUCCAAUCGUCACGGCAAGGGGCCGGUGAUGUGGCUGCUCAAGGUCCGGUUCAUCUUGGAUGUCACGGAGCCUUGCCUCAUUGGACAUGUUCCGCGUGCCCGGUGCCUGCCUGUGCGAGCAGGCGUCGACGGGGCAGAAGGCGGCCCUGUACACUGGCAACGCUUCCUGCACUUGAAAAACCUCGGACAGUGAAGAACAUGGGAGUGCAAGGACACAUUCUGUAUUCUUUAUAUAAUGGUAGGAAGUACUAUGUAAAUAGUGUUUUUGUAGUGACACUGACAAAGCUUAUGCAUGAGAUAGAGCUUCGUUGUACAUUACUUUGCAGGUUUCAAGCCUUUUGAUGGAAGCUCCUGUAUCUUCCUAGCAAGGCUGAUGGACUCUGGUGCUUGGUUUAUUAGGUGAUAACUAAAACGAACAUUCUUUGGCUGACAUUUGAAGUAAGAUUUAAAACAACCUACAGAACAAACUGGAGAGGGUGCACAUCAGAUGGCUCCCUCCCAUGGAGAAUGAACUGAAGAUUAAUAUUGAUGGCACUUUCCACCCUGAACCGAACGCUGGCGGUUGGGGUGCAGUCAUCAGGAAUCAUAAAGGAGAGGUAAAAGUAUGUGGAGCACUUACAUGGAGAUCAGGCUGUUAUAUGGGGUGCCUAGCUAGGAAUGGAUAAAGGAGCCAGACCUAUUGGCCUUGAAACAGAUUCAGUGCUGCUGAAGAAGGGGGUAAACAAUGAUGAAUGUGGCCUCUCUGCUCUCUACCUAGGCUUAGAGGAGAUCAAGGAAUAUCUGAAGCAAAACUUUGAAGUGUGUCAUUUUACUUCUCCUAAGAGGAACUGUAAUAAAGCAGGCCAUUGUUUCGCUAGCUAUGGUUGUACCUUAAGCAUGUAUGAUCAUCUUCAAACAGAUCAUGUAAUUCCACUUGUAUCGGACCUGGUGGCGACUCUUCUCUAAUUUCUGCAUACGUCUCCCCUA